GCAGCCCACAGGUGGCUAUCAAAAGCCCAUUAAACAUUGGACUGUUUUCUACUUACCCUAGUCAGUGGUGUAUUUGCUUCCGAAAAUAACCAUGGGUCUCUUCUUUCCUAGGAAGGGCUUGUGAUUCUUCAGAAUUCACUAAAUUUCAGUUUCUCUGCAUCCUCAGCUCUCUGGUGAGUUUUGGAAAAAUAGGCAAGCAAGGAUUUUGUAGCUUAUUUGGAUUGUUCUUAUUGUUGGUCAAUGAAUAUUUAUUAAGAGACUAGCAUAUGACAUCUGAACUCUCUACCAUGACCCGUCCAUCUGGGGUGGCCCUGCAUGGCAUUGCUCAUAAUUUUAUUGAGUUACACAAGGCGGUGAUCCAUGCGAUCAUUUUGGUUCAUUUUCUGUGACUGAUCCUGGGAAAGAUUGAGGGAAGGAGGAGAAGGGGAUGACAGAAGGUGAGAUGGUUGGAUGGCAUCACCGACUCAAUGGACAUGAGUUUGAGCAAGCUUUGGGAAAUGGUGAAGGACAGGGAAACCUGUCCAUGUAAUCACAAAAAGUCAGAUACAACUUAACUACCGAACAACAAGAAUAUGACGUCUACUCACUUCUACAAACUUCUUUUUCACUAUUCCCAACUCAGAAUACACUUGCUUUUGUUACCCUGGUGGACUCUCCUGUCUUGAAAUAUGCCACGUGGCACCUUGUGGAAAUGGCACCAUCCUCCACCAUCAGUUAUACUCAAACCUAACCUGCCUAGUGAGGGGUUAGGGCACUUCCCCUACUUUCAUGGUGUUGAUCACCAGCACCGUGCACCGGGAGAACGCUGCUGUGACAGCACAGAGCAAUGUGGUCUCGCAAAUUCCAGAAACUUUUUCAAAUAUACUGCAACAAGCUUAAACCAGGAGCAGAAGUUUAUCUUGUGGGUCAAUGAGCAUUGCUAG
ensembl:lincRNA